GAUCCGCGCCGCUGCAGAGUUUGAUCCUGGCUCAGGACGAACGCUGGCGGCGUGCCUAACACAUGCAAGUCGAACGGAGAUAUCUUGAAUGAAGACUUCGGUCGGAUUUCGAUUUAUCUUAGUGGCGGACGGGUGAGUAACGCGUGAGUAACCUGCCUUUUUGAGGGGGAUAACAUCGGGAAAUCGAUGCUAAUACCGCAUAACAUUCAAAGUCCGCAUGGAUAAUGAAUCAAAGGAGCAAUCCGCAGAAAGAUGGACUCGCGUCCGAUUAGCCAGUUGGUGAGGUAACGGCUCACCAAAGCAACGAUCGGUAGCCGGGUUGAGAGACUGAACGGCCACAUUGGGACUGAGACACGGCCCAGACUCCUACGGGAGGCAGCAGUGGGGGAUAUUGCACAAUGGGCGAAAGCCUGAUGCAGCAACGCCGCGUGAGGGAAGAAGGUUUUCGGAUUGUAAACCUCUGUCCAAAGGGAAGAAGCAAAUGACGGUACCUUUGGAGGAAGCUCCGGCUAACUACGUGCCAGCAGCCGCGGUAAUACGUAGGGAGCGAGCGUUGUCCGGAUUUACUGGGUGUAAAGGGUGCGUAGGCGGCCGUAAGGGUCAGGCGUGAAAUAUGUGGGCUUAACUCACGGACUGCGUUUGAAACUAUAUGGCUUGAGUGAAGUAGAGGCAGGCGGAAUUCCCUGUGUAGCGGUGAAAUGCGUAGAGAUAGGGAGGAACACCAGUGGCGAAAGCGGCCUGCUGGGCUUUAACUGACGCUGAGGCACGAAAGCGUGGGUAGCAAACAGGAUUAGAUACCCUGGUAGUCCACGCUGUAAACGAUGAUUACUAGGUGUGGGGGGUCUGACCCCUUCCGUGCCGGAGUUAACACAAUAAGUAAUCCACCUGGGGAGUACGACCGCAAGGUUGAAACUCAAAGGAAUUGACGGGGGCCCGCACAAGCAGUGGAGUAUGUGGUUUAAUUCGAAGAUACGCGAAGAACCUUACCAGGUCUUGACAUCCAACUAACGAAGUAGAGAUACAUCAGGUGCCCUUCGGGGAAAGUUGAGACAGGUGGUGCAUGGUUGUCGUCAGCUCGUGUCGUGAGAUGUUGGGUUAAGUCCCGCAACGAGCGCAACCCUUGCUGUUAGUUGCGACAUUCAGUUGAGCACUCUAGCAGGACUGCCGUUGACAAAACGGAGGAAGGUGGGGACGACGUCAAAUCAUCAUGCCCCUUAUGACCUGGGCUACACACGUACUACAAUGGCCGAAACAAAGGGAAGCGAAGGAGCGAUCUGGAGCAAACCCCAAAAAGCGGUCUCAGUUCAGAUUGUAGGCUGAAACUCGCCUGCAUGAAGAUGGAAUUGCUAGUAAUCGCGAAUCAGCAUGUCGCGGUGAAUACGUUCCCGGGCCUUGUACACACCGCCCGUCACACCAUGGGAGCCGGUAAUACCCGAAGUCAGUGACCUGACUCAGCAAUGAGAAGGAGCUGCCGAAGGUAGGAUUGGCGACUGGGGUGAAGUCGUAACAAGGUAACCCGGGCGGCCGCU
rnacentral:rRNA from 1 species